CGUGAGCAAUCUGCCUUGGAGUGGGGAAUAACGGCUGGAAACAGCCGCUAAUACCGCAUGAUACAGUUGGGAGGCAUCUCUCUGACUGUCAAAGAUUUAUCGCUCUGAGAUGAGCUCGCGUCUGAUUAGCUGGUUGGCGGGGUAACGGCCCACCAAGGCGACGAUCAGUAGCCGGACUGAGAGGUUGGCCGGCCACAUUGGGACUGAGACACGGCCCAGACUCCUACGGAAGGCAGCAG
rnacentral:rRNA from 1 species